GGGACCCACUCCGGGGUUCUCCGUCUCUCCCCGAGGGGAGGGGACAGGGAAGUCUCCCAGGAGCUCUCUGACUUCCAGCCCUUCUCCUGUUCCGUUUGGGUCUCCGCUGCUCCUUUUACCUCGCAUCAGGAGGGGCGAUUGGUGGGCAUUCACAAGGCAGCGCGCCCACUCAACAGUGUGUCAGCCUCAAGGGCUGGAAAGGAGCAGGUGCUCGGGGCCAUGGAUGGACCCAGACUCCACCGACACUGCCAUCAGCAAUGCCAAAACCAGCCUGCCUCAAGUGUUUGGAGGGACCCGGGGGCCCUGACACCUACUCUGGGGUAUUACAUAGAGUAUUGUGAAGAUAAAUGGAAUAAUGUGUAGGAAAAUCCUGCUGCCUCGCAGGUACUCAAAACUCACCAUUUUAAAAUUUAAAAUGAUAGGACAUUGUUUCAAGAAUAUUUAUUGAACACCUACAACUAUGUCCCAGGUACUGUAACACUGGAAGUCUGUCCUUAGAGCUACACUGACUUUCCGAGUCUGGAUUAUAAGCAGUGUCCUCGACCAAGGUCACCAUGGAGGGAAUGGCACAAAGGGAGGGACACUUUGGAAGAGGGCAAACCAGCUGUGUAUCUUUAGGCAAAUUGCCUUACCUCUCUGAGCCUGCUUCCUCAUCUGUCAAAUGGCUUUGGACCUCUGCCUCCAUCAACUGUUAGAGCCAGGAGCAGGGGGUUCAGAUGAGACAAAAGAUGUCUGGGGUCUUGGCGAGCAGAGAAGUGCUACCAGCCAACUCAGAGGCGGAGGUGGUGGGGUCAACCCCUGCCAUGCCCCUAACUUCAGCACCUGAGCUGUCUCUGCAGGAGCCUGAGGACCCCUUCGUGCUGUUCUCAGGGGCUCCUGGCCUUCGGCGAAUAGUGCCACUCGAGGUCCACAGGCAGCUUGGGCACCUCCCUGAUGAACCACGUCAGGGCGCGGCUGAGCCUCCGGUCCCACUGCAUCCAGGCCUGACUCCAGCCCCUGCUGUCUCCAUGGAGACCAAGAAGGGUAUUAGGUGGCUUGCUGAGUCUCCAGGAGGGCAGAGAUCCAAGUCUUGGGCCUACCAAAGCAAAAUCACGUGUCAGUAGCUCCUGUCGAGUGGCGCCUGCCAGGACUUGGCUCAGACAGCAGAGCAGGUUCUUUGGGCCUCAGGAUGCUGCAACCUCUGAGCCUGCUGCCUCCAGACACCAGGUGUCUCUGCCAGGACAGAGCGCCACAGGAUGGAACCAGAUUCUUCAGGUCGAGGGAAGCUGAAGGGGAGG